rnacentral:rRNA from 1 species
AUGUUUUUGCUGCUAGCAUUAAAAGCUGGCGUGUUUUAUGACAGAGUGACAAAUAUGACUAUUUGGGGAAACCAUUCAACAACUCAGGUUCCUAAUUUCUUGAAUGCCAAAAUUAAUGAGAGGCCAGUAAAAGAAGUCAUCAAAGAUACAAAGUGUCUAGAAGAGGAUUUUCCUAUAAUUGUUCAAAAGGCACACGGAGAAGUUGGUGGUGCCGCCGAGGCUGUUGCUCCCGGUGCUAGAGAGGGUGUCACUAAUCGAUGCCGCCGGCUUGCCCGAGUUGGCCUGCACGUCUUCAUGACCAGCCAUCUCCCCAGGUGA